rnacentral:lncRNA from 1 species
AAAAUGUAAAUGUUAUGCUAUGUAUACUUUACCACAAUUUUAAAAAGUACACACACGGUGAAAAAAAAAAACAAUUAGCUAACUGGUGAUUGCGUGAAGGAUGAACUGGAUUAGGCCAAGGUGAUCAAGAAGUAGAUUGGUAGAUUAACCUGGUCAGGAGGUCAUGAGAACUUCAAAUGAGGCAGUGACCAUCAGGAAAAAAUUUGUAAGAAGAAUGGUCAGGACCAAAUGAGUUUGGUUUUGGUCCUGCUGAGUUUGAGGCAUAUGGUGGAAACUGCCCAGCU